rnacentral:rRNA from 1 species
UCAAGAAACUUCCACAAUGGGCGAAAGCCUGAUGGAGCGACGUCGCGUGAUGGACGAAGUGCUUCGGCACGUAAACAUCUUUUAUGUGGGAUGAAAUUAUUGACAGUACCACAUGAAUAAGGGGCUCCUAACUCUGUGCCAGCAGGAGCGGUAAUACAGAGGCCCCAAGCGUUAUCCGGAAUCACUGGGCGUAAAGGGUGUCGAGGCGGUUGUAUUAGUCGUUCGUAAAAUCUACGAGCUUAACUUGUAGGCGGCGAACGAAACGGUACGACUUGAGGUUUGGAGAGGUGCGUGGAACUCACGGUGUAGAGGUGAAAUUCGUAGAUAUUCGCAGGAACACCAGUGGCGAAGGCGACUUGCUGGACUUAUGGUGACGCUGAGACGCGAAAGCGUGGGGAGCAAACAGGAUUAGAUACCCCGGUAGUCCCUGAGCGGGCUGGCAAGGCGCAU